UGGUGGCGUGCCUAAUACAUGCAAGUCGAACGAAGCUUUCUUUCACCGAAUGCUUGCAUUCACCGAAAGAAGCUUAGUGGCGAACGGGUGAGUAACACGUAGGCAACCUGCCCAAAAGAGGGGGAUAACACUUGGAAACAGGUGCUAAUACCGCAUAACCAUGAACACCGCAUGAUGUUCAUGUAAAAGACGGCUUUUGCUGUCACUUUUGGAUGGGCCUGCGGCGUAUUAACUUGUUGGUGGGGUAACGGCCUACCAAGGUGAUGAUACGUAGCCGAACUGAGAGGUUGAUCGGCCACAUUGGGACUGAGACACGGCCCAAACUCCUACGGGAGGCAGCAGUAGGGAAUCUUCCACAAUGGACGAAAGUCUGAUGGAGCAACGCCGCGUGAAUGAAGAAGGCCUUCGGGUCGUAAAAUUCUGUUGUCAGAGAAGAACGUGCGUGAGAGUAACUGUUCACGUAUUGACGGUAUCUGACCAGAAAGCCACGGCUAACUACGUGCCAGCAGCCGCGGUAAUACGUAGGUGGCGAGCGUUGUCCGGAUUUAUUGGGCGUAAAGGGAACGCAGGCGGUCUUUUAAGUCUGAUGUGAAAGCCUUCGGCUUAACCGAAGUAGUGCAUUGGAAACUGGAAGACUUGAGUGCAGAAGAGGAGAGUGGAACUCCAUGUGUAGCGGUGAAAUGCGUAGAUAUAUGGAAGAACACCAGUGGCGAAAGCGGCUCUCUGGUCUGUAACUGACGCUGAGGUUCGAAAGCGUGGGUAGCAAUCAGGAUUAGAUACCCUGGUAGUCCACGCCGUAAACGAUGAGUGCUAAGUGUUGGAGGGUUUCCGCCCUUCAGUGCUGCAGCUAACGCAUUAAGCACUCCGCCUGGGGAGUAC
rnacentral:rRNA from 1 species